rnacentral:rRNA from 1 species
AUCCUGGCUCAGGAUGAACGCUAGCUACAGGCUUAACACAUGCAAGUCGAGGGGCAGCGGGAUUGAAGCUUGCUUCAAUUGCCGGCGACCGGCGCACGGGUGAGUAACGCGUAUCCAACCUUCCGUACACUCAGGGAUAGCCUUUCGAAAGAAAGAUUAAUACCUGAUGGUAUGAUGAGAUCGCAUGGUAUCAUCAUUAAAGAUUUAUCGGUGUACGAUGGGGAUGCGUUCCAUUAGGUAGUAGGCGGGGUAACGGCCCACCUAGCCUACGAUGGAUAGGGGGUUCUGAGAGGAAGGUCCCCCACAUUGGAACUGAGACACGGUCCAAACUCCUACGGGAGGCAGCAGUGAGGAAUAUUGGUCAAUGGACGAGAGUCUGAACCAGCCAAGUAGCGUGAAGGAUGAAGGUCCUACGGAUUGUAAACUUCUUUUAUAAGGGAAUAAAACCUCCCACGUGUGGGAGCUUGUAUGUACCUUAUGAAUAAGCAUCGGCUAACUCCGUG